UGAGCAAUCUGCCCUUCUCUUCGGAAUAAGCGUUGGAAACGACGUCUAAUGCCGAAUACGACCUCCUUUCGCAUGAUCGGAGGUGGAAAGCUCCGGUGGAGAAGGAUGAGCUCGCGGCCUAUCAGCUAGUUGGUGUGGGUAAUGGCCCACCAAGGCGACGACGGGUAGCUGGUCUGAGAGGAUGGCCAGCCCACUAGUUGGGACUGAGACACCGGCCCAGACCUCGUACGGGA
rnacentral:rRNA from 1 species